CGUGUAGGCGGUUGUUCAAGUCGGGUGUGAAAGCCUUGAGCUCAACUCAAGAAAUGCACUCGAUACUGAAUGACUAGAGGACCGGAGAGGAUAGUGGAAUUCCCAGUGUAGUGGUGAAAUACGUAGAGAUUGGGAAGAACACCAGUGGCGAAGGCGGCUAUCUGGACGGUUUCUGACGCUAAGACGCGAAAGCGUGGGGAGCAAACA
rnacentral:rRNA from 1 species